AGGGAAUAUUGCGCAAUGGGGGAAACCCUGACGCAGCCACGCCGUGUGAGUGAGGAAGGCCUUCGGGUCGUAAAGCUCUGUCAUUUGGGAAGAAACUCCAUCCGGGGAAAGUUCGGGUGGAUUGACGGUACCAAAGAAGGAAGCACCGGCUAACUCUGUGCCAGCAGCCGCGGUAAUACAGAGGGUGCAAGCGUUGUUCGGAAUUACUGGGCGUAAAGCGUCUGUAGGCGGUGCUGAGAGUCCUAGGUGAAAUCCCCGAGCUUAACUCGGGAACUGCCUCGGAGACCUCAGUACUUGAGUACGAAAGGGGUUGCUGGAAUUCCAUGUGUAGCGGUGAAAUGCGUAGAUAUAUGGAGGAACACCUGUGGCGAAGGCGGGCAACUGGUUCGAGACUGACGCUGAGAGACGAAAGCGUGGGGAGCAAAC
rnacentral:rRNA from 1 species